UACGUAGGCAGCGAGCGUUGUUCGGAGUUACUGGGCGUAAAGAGUGCGUAGGCGGUUUUCUAAGUUUGGUGUGAAAUCUCCCGGCUUAACUGGGAGGGUGCGCCGAAAACUGGAAGGCUUGAGUAUGGGAGAGGUAAGCGGAAUUCCAGGUGUAGCGGUGAAAUGCGUAGAUAUCUGGAGGAACACCGGUGGCGAAGGCGGCAUUCUGGACCGAUAUUGACGCUGAGGAGCGAAAGCCAGGGGAGCAAACGGG
rnacentral:rRNA from 1 species